ACCAUUCAUUUUGUUUUUGCACUAACGUUUUCACUUUAUUCAAAUUACUUUAUUCAACAGUUCACCUGAAAAACUUUGAAUAAAGUGAAAACGUUAGUGCAAAAACAAAAUGAAUGGUUAAAUCUU